GGUCCUCGGCGCGCAAACCGUUGAUUUUAGAAAGCACUUUUAAACGGAUGUCAGAAGAGACAUGAUUGAAGAUAGCUUCACCAAUCAUCUAAUGAAGAUCGUUGUACUGGGCAGCACCGCAGGAGAGGAAGAUGCCAACAUAGCUGAUGUCGUCAUUGAGGGAACUGCGGUACUGUCAGGAUGCAAGAAUCUUACAAAUGCCUGACUUCUGCUCAUGGGCUUCAUUUACUCCUUGAACUUGAGCUAUCCUUCAAAGCUAAGAAACACAAAUUUUUUCUUGGACUGGAUGCUUUGAAAUUUUCUCCAAAAGUUAGCUCUUUGCAGAGAAAGCUAUUGAUGUAAGUCUGCUAGCUGGCCAUUUUGUUUGGCAUUGAGUGUAUUUGCUUUUGUAUACUUUUUGUAUUUGCUAAUUGUUUUUUAAGUGAGAAUGUCCGCAAAAGACUUGUUAAGCUAAAGUUGUACUGAACUGUUUCACAUAGUUUGUCCAUUGGUUUGAUCAUUUCUUUAAUAAAAGUACUCAAGGAAAA